rnacentral:rRNA from 1 species
AUGGUCGUCCCUCCACCAGACAGGGCCGCUAGGAUCGUCGGUUUUCUCAAGCCCUACCUUUUGAGGAUGCAUUUCUCGAACAAGUAUGUAACCGCCCAGGUCAUCCAUACCCCAACAGCAACCGUCGCGUGUUCUGCAAGCUCGCAGGAGAAGCUGCUGAGACCGAACUUGGAGUCGACCCGUGACGUCUCUGCCGCGGCAAAGAUUGGGAAGCUGCUGGGCGAGCGCCUGCUGCUCAAAGGGAUACCUGCCGUGUCCAUCCACAUGAAGAGAGAGCAGAAGUACCACGGGAAAGUCAAGGCCGUUAUUGAUUCCGUCAGAGAAUCUGGUGUGAAGCUGUUGUGA